UCUAUGUAUACGAGUCAUAUGACUAAUCGCCGAUUCCCAAACAUGCCUAGGAUUUCUUGACGUGAAUAGUGAUGAACAGGCGAUCUUGGCCUAUGUAAGUGCAAAUGAUUCAUAAUGGAAUUAAUCUCUUUGAACUGAAAGUAUAAAGGAACAC